rnacentral:rRNA from 1 species
ACGGUCCUAAGGUAGCGAAAUUCCUUGUCGGGUAAGUUCCGACCCGCACGAAUGGCGUAACGACUUGGGCACUGUCUCAACAAGGGACCCGGCGAAAUUGUAGUAUGUGUGAAGAUGCACAUUACCCGCGAUAGGACGGAAAGACCCCGUAGAGCUUUACUGUAGUUUAACAUUGGAUUUCGGUAACAUAUGUACAGGAUAGGUGGGAGGCGAAGAACCAGGGACGCCAGUUUCUGGGGAGCCGACCUUGGGAUACCACUCUUGUGUUAUUGGAGUUCUAACGAAGUGCCGUAAACCGGGCUUCGGACAGUGUUAGAUGGGCAGUUUGACUGGGGCGGUCGCCUCCGAAAGAGUAACGGAGGCGUCCAAAGGUUCCCUCAGAAUGGUUGGAAACCAUUCGCAGAGUGUAAAGGCAGAAGGGAGCUUGACUGCGAGACCGACAGGUCGAGCAGGUGCGAAAGCAGGGCUUAGUGAUCCGGCGGUAUGAGAGUGGAAUUGCCGUCGCUCAACGGAUAAAAGCUACCUCGGGGAUAACAGGCUGAUCUCCCCCAAGAGUUCACAUCGACGGGGAGGUUUGGCACCUCGAUGUCGGCUCGUCGCAUCCUGGGGCUGGAGCAGGUCCCAAGGGUUUGGCUGUUCGCCAAUUAAAGCGGCACGCGAGCUGGGUUCAGAACGUCGUGAGACAGUUCGGUCCCUAUCCAUCGUGGGCGCAGGAGAUUUGAGAGGAGCUGUCCUUAGUACGAGAGGACCGGGAUGGACGCACCAAGGGUGAAUCAGUUGUCGUGCCAACGGCACAGCUGGGUAGCCAAGUGCGGAUCGGAUAAACGCUGAAGGCAUCUAAGCGUGAAGCCGACCUCAAGAUAAGAUCUCCCAUCCGAAAGGAGUAAGACCCCAUGAAGACCACAUGGUUGAUAGGCCGGAGGUGGAAGUGCAGUAAUGUACGGAGCUGACCGGUACUAAUAGGUCGAGGGCUUGAUCGA